CGCGUAGGUGGUUUGUUAAGUUGAAUGUGAAAUCCCCGGGCUCAACCUGGGAACUGCAUCCAAAACUGGCAAGCUAGAGUAUGGUAGAGGGUGGUGGAAUUUCCUGUGUAGCGGUGAAAUGCGUAGAUAUAGGAAGGAACACCAGUGGCGAAGGCGACCACCUGGACUGAUACUGACACUGAGGUGCGAAAGCGUGGGGAGCAAACA
rnacentral:rRNA from 1 species